AUUGAACGCUGGCGGCAGGCCUAACACAUGCAAGUCGAGCGAGCGGCGGACGGGUGAGUAAUGUCUGGGAAACUGCCCGAUGGAGGGGGAUAACUACUGGAAACGGUUGCCAAAACCGCAUAUCAUCCGAUGUGCCCAGAUGGGUUUAGCUAGUCGGUGGGGUAAUGGCUCACCUAGGCGACGAUCCCUAGCUGGUCUGAGAGGAUGACCAGCCACACUGGAACUGAGACACGGUCCAGACUCCUACGGGAGGCAGCAGUGGGGAAUAUUGCACAAUGGGCGCAAGCCUGAUGCAGCCAGGCCGCGUGUGUGAAGAAGGCCUUCGGGUUGUAAAGCACUUUCAGCGGGGAGGCGUUACCCGCAGAAGAAGCACCGGCUAACUCCGUGCCAGCAGCCGCGGUAAUAC
rnacentral:rRNA from 1 species